GGCUCUUGCAGCUGUCAGGACAGGACCAGAUGUGAAGAACGUGCUCUACUCUGCACCUGGGGAUAAUGGUCCUUCCUGGAGCCUCUGGCAGAUGGUGCCUGGGGAGAUUUGAGGCUGACUGCUUGGAUUCUGGAGCCGAAGCUACAGGGGGUCUGAGGCCAACUACACACCAACAGAGAAGGAGAUCCUAGCAGCCUAUGAAGGAGUUCAGGCUGCCUCAGAGGUGACUGGCACUGAAGCACAGCUUCUGUUGGCACUCUGCCUAUCAGUGCUGGGGUGGAUGUUUGAAGGAAAGGUUCCCUCCAUUCAUCAUGCCACUGACGUGACAUGGAGUAAGUGGAUUGCUUUGAUCACACAGGGCACCCGUAUUGGAAACCCUAAUCAUCCUAGGAUUUUGGAAAUAAUCACAAGUUGGCCUGAAGGUGAGAACCGUGGCCUGGCAGAUGAAGAGGAACAAGUGGCACAUGCUGAGGAAGCUCCACCAUACAAUCAACUAUCAGAAGAUG